rnacentral:rRNA from 1 species
AUAGGGUUGGUCAAGGUAUUUAAAAGACACCUACUAAAUAUAUGCCCUAUAAUAAUUAUAUUUAUAUACUUUGUUUUAUAAAUAGUUUUAUUGUUUUCAUAAAUGUUUUAUAAAAAUUUUUUUUUACCUUUUGUAUAAGGUUCUUCCUAAAUAUUUUAUAAUUUUCAAGAUUUUAAGAGAUUAAUCGAAAAUUUUCUUUUGUUAAAAUAAGUGAAAAUUUUCUAUAGUGAAAAACUUUGGUUCUUUGUAAUCUUGGUAUAAUUUUAUUUUUCUAGAAAUUUGAACUUUAGGUUAACUAAAAUUUAUUUAUAAAAUUUUCUUAAAAAAGGUUAAGACAACUAGAAAUGUUUAAAUUCUAAGUUUUAAAAAUUGAAAAAAAAUAAUGGAAUUUUAAGUAAAUUUUAUUUUUAGUUAUAUUUUAUUAAUUGAGUUUAUUUUUCCUAAUUUAUACACUUUCAAGGGAGAUAAAAUUUUCACAAAAUGUUUACUUCUUUAAGAAGUAAACUCUGCCAGUUAAUUUUAAAAGGCCAGGUUUUCUGCUAAGGUAGCGUAAUUAUUAGUUUAUUGAAUGUAAACCUGAAUGAAUGAGAGACUCCUCCUUUUUUUUUCUUAGGAAAUUUGAAUUAAUAGGUUUCUUGAUAAUAAGAAUUUUUCAAAUUAGGACGAGAAGACCCUAAAAUUUUUAUUUUAUUUAAUUGGGGAAAUGAUUGUUUAUAUAAACAAUUAUUUUUGUAUAGAACGCUUUAGAGUUUAUUAAGAAAAUACUUUAGGGAUAACAGGGGAAUAGUUCUUUGUAGAUCUAAUUUUUAGAACAGUUUUCUACCUCGAUGUUGGAUUAAUUGACCUGGUAGAAGUAGAAAAUUACUUAGGUAGACUGUUCGUCUUUUAAAUUUUUACAUGAUCUGAGUUCAAGUCGGCGUGAGCCAGACUGGUUUUUAUCCAAUUUAUUUCUUAAAUAAAACUAGUACGAAAGGAUUGUUUAUAAAAAUAUA